AUCAGGGAAACUUGAUUCUAAUACCGUAUACGUCCGUGAGGAGAAAGAUUUAUCGCCCUUACACGGGCCCGCGUCGGAUUAGCUAGUUGGUGGGGUAACGGCCUACCAAGGCGACGAUCCGUAGCUGAUCUUAGAGGAUGAUCAGCCACACUGGGACUGAGACACGGCCCAGACUCCUACGGGAGGCAGCAGUUGGGGAAUCUUGGACAAUGGGCGCAAGCCUGAUCCAUCCAUGCCGCGUGAGUGAAGAAGGUCUUCGGAUUGUAAAGCUCUUUUGCCAUGGACGAUAAUGACGGUACCUGGAGAAUAAGCCCCCGCUAACUUCGUGCCACCAGCCGCGGUAAUACGAAGGGGGCUAUCGUUGUUCGGAAUUACUGGGCGUAAAGCGCACGUAGG
rnacentral:rRNA from 1 species